rnacentral:lncRNA from 1 species
CUGGUUGCGCUUUAUUUACAAAAUCCAGAGAUUUGUACACAGCAAUCUACAGGACAGCAUAGGGCUGGUGUCAGGAGGAUAAAGGACAUGCUCAGCAGGAAUUGAAGAUGCCAGCAAGGAGUCUCCACAGUUCCACAGGGAACCUGCUUCCCUUUGACCGAGGAAGCCACCAGACCCCUCCAUGAAGAAGAAAAGCAGCAGCAAUAGCCAACACAGGCUGAUGUUGCAAUUUUAGUUAUCACUGAGGCACGGGAACACAAGUGGUUUGUGAAGGAAGAAGGAAGAGACCAGCAGGGUUUCGGCACAUCGCUAAGGGCCAUCCUGCCUGGGUCUUUACUUCCAGCGCCCGCCAACCUUGCCUUUGGCUCCUGCCUUCUUGCUGUGUUUCUGAGCCUGAUCAAUCCGGUUCCUGAGAGUGACAAUCUCAUAUUUUUUCCUCUUUAUUUGCUCAGCAAAGUCAUACUUCUCAGUCUGCAGCUGGUAUAACCAGUCCCACAGUUCCUUAGCCUUGUCCCUCAGCUUGUCUUCAUUAAGAUGGUCAAUGUUCAAGGGCUUGCGCCUCUCUGCCAGGACCUUCUUCUUUGUCUCUCUAGCUGUUUGCUUCUUCCCUCUCUUCUGAUCAGCCUUUGCCAGAUAGCUGCUGUAUGAGGCACCCAUGGAGGACAGAGCCUUCUUCUUCUUGAGAUCAUCCUCGGCUUUUCUCUUGGCAUCUUCUUCCUCUCUCCGUGCCUUUUCCUCCGCAAGCCGUGCUUGACGCUCCUUCUCCUUCUCAGCCCGGAUUCUCUGUUGCUCUGCUCUUUCAGCUCUGCGCUUCUCAAUCCUCUCCUUAAGGGCAACCAGCUCUUCUUCUUCCUUUCGCCUGGCCUCAAAGUGGCUGUCAAUCAAGGCCUGCAGUUCAAUCAGGUCUUUGUUCUGCCUCUUCUUUUGGAUGUCAUCAAAAUCUACUUUCUCACCCUCUGGUAUUUUAGGAGCAGUUAGCUUUAUUCUGGGCUUCUCCUCUUCUUCAGGGGCUUCUUCUUCUUCGUGGACCUCUUCUG